GGUGGCUCAGCGGUAGAGUGCAUGCCUUGCAAGCAUGAGGUCCUGGGUUCGAUUCCCCAGAACCA
rnacentral:tRNA from 1 species